UCUUAAAAUAAUGAUUAGAAAUAAAUAAUUAAUAAAGAAAAUUUAUAAUAAUCUUCGAAGUAAUGCUAUAAUAAUUUCAUUUAAAAUAUCUUUUUUCUCAUUUUUGUUAACAUAAAAAUUGGAAAUGAUACUAAAAUUUCGAAAUGAUACUAUAUAUAGCUUCAAUGUAAAUGUUAUCUUCUUUUCUUUUUGCACCUAAUUGUGAAUAUAUAUGAAUGCACAUUGGAUCAACAUAAGCAUGCACAUUUUGCUGAUAUCUGAUAAAUGAUCAUGAUGCAUUUCCAUCACCGCGACCGAACGACACCGACACUCAUUCACAAUUAGAGGAUCGAAUUUCUCUGCCUCAUGCUAUAUAUUUUGCACUAGGAGAAAACGUUAGUAGUAGCUAGGAAGAAAUGUGUUUAUUUAGUUAAUAAUAAAAUUGUUUUUAUGUACCUUGAGGAAAACGUAAACAAUUUUUCAAAUAACAAAAUAAAUAGUGCCAUUAUAAAUAUUCUCUUCUCUUAUUUAUUUAUAAAUAAGAGAUGUUAAAAACGUACCCACGCAAAUUUCACGCACAUUAUAGAAAAAAUAAUAUUAAUUUCAAAUACUCACGUACAUAAGAGAAAAUAUAAUAAUGUUGAAACUAGAUAAAUAAAUUGAGUAUAUUUCCGCUUUUUUUAUUAACUUGAAUGCACAAAACCUAUAUACGCAUAUGUGUACGUGUUUAAUAAUCAAUGCUGAUAUUCACUUUAAGUAUUUAUCAAUAUUACAAAUAUAAAUCAAUUUUCUCAUAAUGGCUAAUAAUAACUAAAAUGUUUAUACAAUUUCAAGAAACGUAAGUAAAUAAAACAUCUCUUUCACAAAACAAUGUAACUACAAGUUUACGAAUAUAUAGCGAUACUUAGAAAGUGAACUUUUUUUUAAUAAAAUAACUAAAAUUUGUUUAGUUUCACAAAUUUAUGAAAAACUCACUCUUUUCCAACUCAAUUUUUCGAUAUCUGUAAGUAGUAUGUAAAUAUUCGUACAAACAUAUUCAUAUAUAUAUUUAUAUAUACCAAGCAGAAUGAUCCAGUUCAGUGUUAUCCUUCAAAAAGAGCAGAUGUAUUUUGUUCACACUUCGAAGCAAGGAAAUCUAAAUGGAAAUGAAGCAAAAUAUACAACCAAUUAUGGGAAAUGACUAUGUACAACAAAAAAUUAAUCGUAUUAUAUUCGAUAUCAGAAUGCAAGUUGACUUGUGCUAAAUAAUUGAAACGGACGCAGAGAUAUCUAUAAUAUCCAGAAUGUCAGACAAAAGACUCAGGAAAAGGAAAGUUACUACUAAAAAAAGUAAUACCAAUAGUUACUACGAAUAACAACAAUCUUUAAAGUAUCAACAUCUAAAAAAUGGUUAAUAAAUUCCAAUAUCUUAUUCACCAAUUGAUGCAAUACUUCAUAAAACAUAUAACCGAAUAACAGUGAAACAAACUUGUUCUUAAGCAAAGAACCGUUAAGCGAAGACUCCUCCACUAUUUAUUCAAGCCAACAUUGUAUAUACAUUAAUCGAGGUUCUUAACAAAUCUGUCAUGGAUACAUAUAACUAUAAAACCAAUAACCAACAGAUAAAAAAACAGGCUUCAGUCAUGGAUACAUAUUGUUAAAUUAUUAAAACUUUAAAAACUCAAAAUACUAGCAACUAUAUAUUUCAACCAAAAGAGGAAAGGAGGUAUAAGGGAAGGAUCAAAGGUUUACAUUAUACCACUUCCAUUAAACAAAUCAAGCAAGAGCUGUAUUUUCAAGGACAUACAGCAUUGCACAAUAAAUGAUGACUCAAUUCAAACUAGUCAUGGAACUUCUAACAAAAUUAGUAACCAAAGAUGGAUAAGUUCAAAGUAAUAUUAUGCAAUUGUAAUAUUCUCCAGCUAAAAAUCGACGAACUCAACAACAUUUUUCUCAAUCCACGACAUUGAUAUAUUUUUGCUACUAAAGACACAUAAAAUAGAUAAAUCCUAUUACAAAAUACACAGAUACCAGACUUAUAUAACUCCUUCUGCAACGGACAGAACAUGUGGAGGCACUACUAUUUUCAUCAGAAACACAAUUACAUACAUGCCGAUUAACAGCACACAAAUGGAUUAGAUGCAAACAACAUCUAUAACAGUGAUGAUAAAUAAGAUCCAAAUAACAUUCAUCUUUAAUUACAUCCCCCUUGCUAAAAAGGUCACAAUACAGAACUUUGAAUCUCUUUUACUAUGACACAGGAAAUACAUAAUCGCCGGCGAUUUCAAUGGCAAGCACACAGAUUGGGGUUCUAGAUUAGUAAUAGCAAGAGGUUUUGUAAUUAGAAAUAUCAUUGAAAUUCGCAAUAGCAAAUUACAGAACACUAGUAUCCUCAAUACACACAACUGACAAUCAUUUAUUGGUUCUGAUGAAAAUUAACUUACGACUACCCUAUAAACAACCUACCAUGUUAAUUACAAAACUAACCAACUGGGAUGGAUUCAGAGAUAUGAUCGAAUCCACACUUAUCUGUAAUGUCAGAUUUAAAACCACCAAAGAUAUUAACACUGCACUUGAAGAUUUCACGAUCAUUCUUCAAACGACUGUAUAUAGAAACACACUAGCUACCAAACAAUUAGUACAUGAAACUGAAAAAUUCCCAAACAUAUUUUACAAUCGAUAAAAGAAAGGAGGCUAGCCAUUAAACUUUGGAAAAGAAAUAAGAACAGACAUGAUAAAGCAAGAAUAAACUAUUUAAUACAACAAAGAAGAAAACACAUGCACAUGUUUUGAAAUCUAACAUUUCAAUACUAUUUAGAACAUAUGUAUGAACAGGAAAACCUUGUGGAGAAUUAUCAAGAACCUCAAAACACAACACCAAAGAUAAGCAUUCCUAGUUGGAAUGACAGAAAUGGUGAAAGAAUCACCAAUUCAACAAAAAUUCUAAAAGUAGCACAUUAUAUUCAAUUAGGGAUUUAUACGAAUAGUAGAAAUCCUGGCUAUUAAUAUCAACCUGAAAUAAUACCACUAAGUACAAUGUUUAAGGAAAUCAAAGAUUUAGUCAAUAAGCUUAAUCCCAAGAAAGUAUCUUGAGUAAAUCUAAUAACUGGAAAACUCCUACAACUAUAUACUGAUAAAACAAGUAGAUACCUAACCAUCCUGUAUAAUGCAAUGUAAAACUAAGCUACUUCCCCACAGCAUGAAAAUGUGCAAAAAUUAUAUUAAUAUUAAAACCAGGACAUCACCAAUUACAUUGGCUAACUAUAAACCCAUAUCUCUCCUUUCAACUAUGUCUAAAAUCCUGGAAAAGAUUUUUUUAAGAAUAUAAUGACAAAUACCAAAAUAUCAUCCCAAACCAUCAAUUCAGAUUCAGGAAAUACCACGGAACUAUCGAACAAGUCCACAAAGUAUUCAACAAAAUAGCAUACGCCUUCUUGGACAAAAAGAUCUGCAAUUGUCCUUUUUGACCUAGAGAAAGCUGUCAACAAAAUACUGCAUAAUAAACUAAUCCAAGACCUCCAAGACAAAUUACUAGUGGAUAUAUCAUCAAUCAUAAUUAACUAUCUCGUUAAUAGAAUAUUUUUCAUUGAUGUCCUGAAAAAGAUAUCGGACAUAUGUAGAUAUCAAUAGACAAUGUCACAGAAAAGUAUUGGCCCAAUUUCUAUUUUUUAUCUAUAUAAUCGCCAUCCUAAAUAAGAAAUAAUAUCCUCACAUUUGAAGAUGAUACGAUUCGUAUACAUAAUGAAAACAACCAAGACUCAUUACAAAAGCUCCAAUAAGACCUUCUCCAAUUUCCAGAAUGGAUCACUAGUAAGGGUAUUAAAAUUAAUACGACUAAAAGUUGAUACGUACAGUUUACUCGCAACAAAAAUGACCCAACAUUUAUUAAACUAAACAAUGAAUCCAUUCCGGUUAAAACUGUAAUUACGUAUCUAGGAAUGGUCUUGGAUAAAAAGUUUACAUGAAAACCACACAUACACCUAAUCAGAAUGAAAAUUUACACAAUACUUAAUAAAAUAUGAUGACUCAUAUGACAUUAGCCCCGACUAUGUACUAAGAACAAAACUGUAUAAAGUCUUAAUAAAUGGACAUAUGAUAUAACAUUAUGAAGCACAGUUGCAAAAUCCAAUGAAGUCAAAAUAAAAGGGUUACAAAUCAAUGUUAUAAAAAAAAUACUAAACGCCCCUUGGGGAACCAGUACCAACAACAUAGAGACUGCAUUCUCAAUCAAUUGAGAUGAUGAUAUAGAAGCAACUCUCAAUCAAUUUUGAGAUUAUUAAAUAUUGAAAACGUUACUGGGAAAGAUUAGAAAAACAUCCAAACCUCACUAUACUCGAUUGUUUUCAAAAACUACCAAAUGAAAGAAGAUUAAGGUAAAGUAUCCGCUGGACAACUACCUUUCAACUACGUUUUAAUCAAUGGACUAGGGGAGAUAGAAGAAUAAGAACCUAAUAUUACUUUUACGAAGCAUCAGAAUUCCUUAAAUAUUUAGCUGUAAGAAUCAUUCUAUACCAAAAAUAUAAUAACUCCUUUGUAGUUAUACGUGAUAAUAAACGAUAUUUGAAAGAAAGAAAGAAAGAGCAGAAUGAUCCGAUAAGCAUUGGAGUGUAUAAAGUUUGCAUAUCGUUGCACUAAUAAGUGUUCAACGUUGAUAUGUAAAAAAUGCAAGAUGCAUUAUAAAUAUUCUGAAACUGUUGAUUAAUGCAAGAAAGAGAAACAGAGAGAAAAAAAAGAGAAACUCAUUUUUUGAAAUUUUACAGAAAGUGUUCAAUUCUUUCUUCUUUGUUUCUUAUCAAAAUAAUUAUUUUAUCAUUCAUAUUUCUCUUUGAAUGUAAUUAUGAAGUUUAAUCCUUUAUUAAAUUGAUUUCUCAAAUGCACACGAUUCAGAAAUAAAUAAAAGAAAGAAAAUAACUGAGAAAGUACGAAAAAUUAUUUUACAAGAAAUAAUGAAAUAAAUAAAAUUAAAAAAAAACUAUAAAAAAUAAAGAAAAACUAUUUAGGAGUAUAAGCAAUAUUUUGUUACAUUACAUAUUCUAUAUUUUUAAGUAUAUCUUCCUGCACCAAAUUACUAAUAAAUAUUAAAAUUAUUAUAUAUAUCCGUAUAGCAUCUGUUUAUAAACAGAAUUAAUGUAUACCUAAACAUGUAAAAAAAAAAUUCUUGACGAGAGACACUGUUGAGCCUCCAUUGGAUUAUUGUAAAUGAUUUGGCCAUGCAUAUUUGUAAAUCAAUUGCCAACACCAGAAAUUAAAUAAAAAAAAAACAAAUGUAAGAUAGUACGGGAUUUCACCAUGAAACUAUGUAUUAUACCUCCAUAUAUGUAUAUAAAACUAGAUGUAUAAUGAUACAAGAUAUAGCCUUAUUAAUUUUAUACACAUAUUGAAACGAAUAUUUAAUCAGAUUAGCUGCGAUGACGAGUUAACCCUCCAUAACGUCAUGUAAAUUUGAAGUCACAUACUAAAGUAUAGUGACAAGUAAAAGUGUAGCAUUUUUCUAAAAUUGGAGCACUAUGAACAAAAACAAGUGAGACUUUAUAGGAGAUCGCUACUAACACAGGGAUUUUGAUUCUAGAAGUUUAUCCGAACAGGCACAAGGACAAAAAGGCUUGUCAAGGCUUUAUUGAAACUAUUCGAGAUCCUCAUCUCAAAAAGAAUGUGGCUUUAACUAUCUCUAAGUGCCAAAUUUUAAAUUAAGUAUUAUAUAUUCGCUGAAAAACAUAUCAAUCAAUAAUUCCACUUUUAGGAACGAAAAGGAACAUCGAAUAUCUGAUGUUAAAAAAUUCUCAAGGACACAAGAAUCAACACGUGACAAGAGGAUGAAUCUGUAACACAAGAAUAGAGAAUGAUAUUCCACAAUGUUGGAGUUACGAAAAAACUGAUAAUUUCAGGAAUUAAGAUCCACAAGGAAGGAGAGAUUAUCAGAAACCAAACAGCGAUGCGGAUAUAGUAAGUAACGCGAUUCCACAGAACAUAGGUAAGCAGAAAAUGGAAAGGAGUGGAAAAAACGGAGGAGUAUGACCAGAUAAGAGUGCACAAUUUUUUUUAAAUGUUAUUUUCUUUGCAAAAAUCAUGUCUGCAAAUAAGUAAUUUCCAAGAGCAAUUUUCACACAAUUAAAAGCUUGUUUCAAAAAUCUUUAUUUCAUAUAGAAAACUGAUCUUUUCUUUAACUUAUAUCUAUUUUAUAAGAAAUAGAAAUAUCAACUGAAAAAUGGAGAAACAAUCAAUAUUAACAAUUACUCAAUUUUCCAUAGAGUUUCUGUUCGAAAUUAUGGUUUAAUUAUAUACAUAUAAUAAUUCACCCUUAUUUUACACAGAUUGGAUAAAACAGAUUAUUGCGUGAAGUUACCUUAUACAAAACAGGUAUGUGUUAUCAAUUAUAAUUUUAACAAGGCCGUUAUAAAACUGAUAUGAAUUUAAAAUUAAUUGAAUGUAUUAGAGUACAAAAAAAUAUAAAAAUAUUUCUCUUCAUAUUAGAUAUGACCUUUAGGAACUCGUACUAUUUGCAUCAAAUUUUGAUUGGAAAGAGAUUGGCAUUUGCAAAUUAUUAAAAAUAAAAUUUUACUACUGAUAAUGCAUAUUCAUUAUCUUUUUAUACAAAUUUUGUUCUGUAUUGUAGAUAGAUAGCUUGUAUAGAAGAAAGAUAUACAAAAAUUAUAUGUGAACAAAGAACAUUACAAGAAUAAACAUCCGAAAUUAGUAAAAGAAAAAGUAAUAUCUUCAUUUAUUGUAAAAAAAUUCCAUAUAUUUGUGGAAUAAAAUAACUAAAAUUUUAACUGCAGUAAAUGACGCUACAAAAGAUUGGAAAGAUUGAUGUAAGAAAAAUUACAUUUCUACAAAUUUUGCAAAUCAGAAAAUUGAACUCUUUCUAUAAAUUUCCACAAACUUUCUUUCCAGUUCUGAGAUAAAAAAUAAAAGUAAAGAACAUUAUUAUUAAAAAUGCAUUAAAAACUGAAUUUUUAAACCACAACUUCAGCCAACUUCUAGUGAUAAUUUAUAUAAGUUUAUAUUUUGUUCCAACCACAAAUCACAUAUUUACAGGAAAUUACUCUUUCCCUGAAAUUGUAAGAACUCCAGGUGAGUUAGAUGUUAUCUGAAACCUGUUUAAAGACUACCCAUUUAAUAAAAAAUAUAAUUGCUCCGAUUUUACGUCACUGCACAAGAGAAAAAUUUAAUGUUGAGUUUACAAUUAAUUAUAAUUAAAUAUUUUCAACACUGUAAAUACUACAACGCAUGAAAAUCUAACUCAGUUUUUGUUUAUUAUAUUUCUAUUUAAUUAAUUAUUAAUAUUUCACCGUAAUAAAAACAUAUUUAUAAAAUCUAACUAAAGUACUAUUACGAACAUCAUAAUCAAGUAUUGAACUUCUUAACAAUAACUCUACCUUUGAUUUUAUUUUCGUUACAAAAGAUUAAGAAAAAAAUUUUGUACAAAAACUGUAUUUGUAAAAAACUGAACAUUAUUUGCUAAAGUGGGAAUUUGACUUCCAGAAAAUAGAACAUUGGUUAAAUUUUUCUCAAUAGUAAUUGUUAAUGUUGAAUUGGUUGAAUGUUUCUACUUCUUACAAUCAUAACGGAUACGAUUAUAAUUCUAAGCAGGACAGAACUACUUGAACGAAUAUUAUAUUUACAGUGGCCAAUUAAUUUGUGCAAUUUAAGUUAUAAUAGUUAUAAUAAUUAUAAUAGUAAUAGUUAAAAUAGUAUAUAGAAUUUCAAUUUUAUCUGUUAAUGAAUGUUUUUAUUCCUGGCACAAUUUCCAAUCAAGCAGUAUAAAAGAACAUAUUCUGAUGAAGCAAUCUAUGGCAGCAACAGGAGAUAGUAAAUACAGAAGAAUUGAUAUCACAAAAAAAAGUCAUUAAUUAAAACAUUCAUAUUGUUCAUGAACAUCUAUAAGAUAUAACAAAAAAUCAGUAUAAAAGGAUUAAAAGACUCAAAAGAAAAAUUAAAAAAAAAAUGUCUCAUAAUUUUCUAAUUAUUUAUAUUAACUAAUAAAGUAAUAUAUAUACAUAUUUUGUAUAUUUAUUACACGCGCGAGUAUGUAUGCAUGUAUGUAUGUGUUUACACGAUAUUAUGUGAAGAAGGCAUAGUAGCAAUUUUUAUUAAAUAUGAUUUUAAUAGCAAAUGACCAUCAUGUUGACAUCGUAGGACAAAUAAUAAUUAGCAGUUAAACUGUUGAAGAACAGUAUUAUGCAUCAAGUCUAGUUCCCCGCGGUACAUUUACUUGUUUCUGCGUAAAAAGGGUAGAUUUAUUCGCAAUAUCGCUCGAUAAUAGUGCAUAAGCGUACUAAUAAAUGAAUAUUUUCGCAUUUAUUACCAUGUGGUUAAUUUCACAUUCAAAAUAAUGAAACCUUUUCUAGGUAUAUAAGAGUGAAAAAUCUCAGAUAAAAAUAAAUGUAUGUAUAAUCCGUUAUCUAAUAUAGCGACAAGCAUAAGAUGUAUAAUGCACCGUAUACAAUUACUAAUGCGCUAAUAAUAAUGAAAAAUGGGGAAAUCCAAACUUAAACCGAUUCUAACCCUUUUUUAUCCAUACGAAUAACAAAUGGCCAGAUACGUAGAUACGCAAAAAUUCGACGAGAAUUAAUAAAUUACUUUCUCAAAAGAUGUAUAUUCUGAACUAAAAAUUAAUUGUCUUACAGAGCCUUAUUAGAUCCUACAGUCUAUAAUUCUACAGACUCUUUAUCUUUUAAAAAUUAUUCUGAUUCGACUUCUUUUUUUUUUCAAAAGAAAUAUUUUCUCCUUCCUUUUAUCAAUAAUAACCCAGACUUCUUAUAUAGAAGUAUUACGUUAAUGAUAAUCUUCUAUGAUGCACUGAUCCUAAUAUACGAAAUAAUUUCAAUUAAUAAUGCAAAAGUUUUUACAGAUUUAUUACGAUCCUUUAAAAAAUACUGAUAAAAAAUACUAAUUUUUACAGUUUGUUAUAUUCUAAUAAAAUUAUGUAUUUAACUACUAUAAAAUUAAUGGGAUUUAGCUUCUUAUUAGAUCUGUAAACGAUAAAAUAGUGUGUGUGUGUGUGUGUGUGUGAGCACGUAAUAACUAGAAUUGCUCGUAAAAAGAGGAUAUAUAAAUACAAAUAAUGUUUAAAAGAUUAAAAUAAUCUUAAAUAUAGUAAAAGUAACUGUUCUAAUAGUUUUAUAAUAUGCACAAAUUAAUAUAUCACUUAUAUUUUAUAUAUAUUUUAUAAUAUAUAUAAAUAAUUAUUUAUAUAUUUAUAAUAUAUAACAUAAAUAAAUAUAUUUCAUAUAUGUAUGUGACAAAGACUUCCAUUAUUUAUAUUAAUAUAAUAUAAGAAAACUCAUUUAUACAUAUUUUAUUAUAUAUUCAUUUGUAUUAUAUUAAAAUUUAGACAGUUAUUCAAUGAAAAAAGUCUUAAUAUGAAUAAAUAAAAUAAUAUUUACGUUGUUAAGACCACAUAAAAGACAUGCUAAGUUGAAGAUUAGUGGACGAUGCAUGAAUUUUUUCUUAAAAAAAAUUAAUAAUUUUUUUAAUUUGUUAUUUCAUUAAAAUAUUACAUACUUUAUAGAAUUUUAUUAACAUCAAUUUUAUUAAACUCUCACUUAUUUAAUUUGUACUUUUAUUAACUAAUUGUAAGUAUUUCUAUAAUUAAAUGGUCAAUAUAGAUAUAUAUAUAAAUAA